AUUGAACGCUGGCGGCAUGCCUUACACAUGCAAGUCGAACGGCAGCACGGGUGCUUGCACCUGGUGGCGAGUGGCGAACGGGUGAGUAAUACAUCGGAACAUGUCCUGUAGUGGGGGAUAGCCCGGCGAAAGCCGGAUUAAUACCGCAUACGAUCUACGGAUGAAAGCGGGGGACCUUCGGGCCUCGCGCUAUAGGGUUGGCCGAUGGCUGAUUAGCUAGUUGGUGGGGUAAAGGCCUACCAAGGCGACGAUCAGUAGCUGGUCUGAGAGGACGACCAGCCACACUGGGACUGAGACACGGCCCAGACUCCUACGGGAGGCAGCAGUGGGGAAUUUUGGACAAUGGGCGAAAGCCUGAUCCAGCAAUGCCGCGUGUGUGAAGAAGGCCUUCGGGUUGUAAAGCACUUUUGUCCGGAAAGAAAUCCUUGGCCCUAAUACGGUCGGGGAAUGACGGUACCGGAAGAAUAAGCACCGGCUAACUACGUG
rnacentral:rRNA from 1 species